CUUGUUAAAGGGCAAACCUGUCGAAAGGCAGGGGCGCAAAGCCAAGGGCCUAAGGAACGUUAUCGUUCUAUGGCAGCCGGUUGCACAA
rnacentral:ncRNA from 1 species